rnacentral:rRNA from 1 species
UACGAAGGGGGCUAGCGUUGCUCGGAAUCAUUGGGCGUAAAGAGCGUGUAGGCGGCCAGGUAGGUCAGCUGUGAAAACUCGAGGCUCAACCUCGAGACGUCGGUUGAAACCACCUGGCUAGAGUCCGGAAGAGGAGAGUGGAAUUCCUGGUGUAGCGGUGAAAUGCGCAGGUAUCAGGAAGAACACCCGUGGCGAAGGCGGGUCUCUGGGCCGAUACUGACGCUGAGGAGCGAAAGCGUGGGGAGCGAACAGG